UACGUAGGGGGGCAAGCGUUGUCCGGAAUCAUUGGGCGUAAAGCGCGUGUAGGCGGCCCGAUAAGUCCGCUGUGAAAGUCCAGGGCUCAACCCUGGAAUGCCGGUGGAUACUGUCGGGCUCGAGUCCGGAAGAGGCGAGUGGAAUUCCUGGUGUAGCGGUGAAAGUGCGCAGAUAUCAGGAGGAACACCGAUGGCGAAGGCAGCUCGCUGGGACGGUACUGACGCUGAGACGCGAAAGCGUGGGGAGCAAACAGG
rnacentral:rRNA from 1 species